UGAACGCUAGCUACAGGCUUAACACAUGCAAGUCGAGGGGCAUCAGGAAGAAAGCUUGCUUUCUUUGCUGGCGACCGGCGCACGGGUGAGUAACACGUAUCCAACCUGCCCUUUACUCGGGGAUAGCCUUUCGAAAGAAAGAUUAAUACCCGAUGGCAUAAUGAUUCCGCAUGGUUUCAUUAUUAAAGGAUUCCGGUAAAGGAUGGGGAUGCGUUCCAUUAGGUUGUUGGUGAGGUAACGGCUCACCAAGCCUUCGAUGGAUAGGGGUUCUGAGAGGAAGGUCCCCCACAUUGGAACUGAGACACGGUCCAAACUCCUACGGGAGGCAGCAGUGAGGAAUAUUGGUCAAUGGGCGCUAGCCUGAACCAGCCAAGUAGCGUGAAGGAUGAAGGCUCUAUGGGCCGUAAACUUCUUUUAUAUAAGAAUAAAGUGCAGUAUGUAUACUGUUUUGUAUGUAUUAUAUGAAUAAGGAUCGGCUAACUCCGUGCCAGCAGCCGCGGUAAUACGGAGGAUCCGAGCGUUAUCCGGAUUUAUUGGGUUUAAAGGGAGCGUAGGUGGACUGGUAAGUCAGUUGUGAAAGUUUGCGGCUCAACCGUAAAAUUGCAGUUGAUACUGUCAGUCUUGAGUACAGUAGAGGUGGGCGGAAUUCGUGGUGUAGCGGUGAAAUGCUUAGAUAUCACGAAGAACUCCGAUUGCGAAGGCAGCUCACUGGACUGCAACUGACACUGAUGCUCGAAAGUGUGGGUAUCAAACAGGAUUAGAUACCCUGGUAGUCCACACAGUAAACGAUGAAUACUCGCUGUUUGCGAUAUACAGUAAGCGGCCAAGCGAAAGCAUUAAGUAUUCCACCUGGGGAGUACGCCGGCAACGGUGAAACUCAAAGGAAUUGACGGGGGCCCGCACAAGCGGAGGAACAUGUGGUUUAAUUCGAUGAUACGCGAGGAACCUUACCCGGGCUUAAAUUGCAGUGGAAUGAUGUGGAAACAUGUCAGUGAGCAAUCACCGCUGUGAAGGUGCUGCAUGGUUGUCGUCAGCUCGUGCCGUGAGGUGUCGGCUUAAGUGCCAUAACGAGCGCAACCCUUAUCUUUAGUUACUAACAGGUUAUGCUGAGGACUCUAGAGAGACUGCCGUCGUAAGAUGUGAGGAAGGUGGGGAUGACGUCAAAUCAGCACGGCCCUUACGUCCGGGGCUACACACGUGUUACAAUGGGGGGUACAGAAGGCAGCUAGCGGGUGACCGUAUGCUAAUCCCAAAAGCCUCUCUCAGUUCGGAUCGAAGUCUGCAACCCGACUUCGUGAAGCUGGAUUCGCUAGUAAUCGCGCAUCAGCCACGGCGCGGUGAAUACGUUCCCGGGCCUUGUACACACCGCCCGUCAAGCCAUGGGAGCCGGGGGUACCUGAAGUACGUAACCGCAAGGAUCGUCCUAGGGUAAAACUGGUGACUGGGGC
rnacentral:rRNA from 1 species